CCGCCGCGCCCUCGGCUGCUUGCAAACCCAACACUCACUAUUUUUAUAUCGCUACAUACGCUAACGGUUCGGGGUCGGGGAAGCGCAUCUUUAAGAAGCGACGGCUAACUGCUAGGUAUCAACGCCAGAGCAGCUUCACAACUGACACAGGCGCGGGGAUGGUGAUGGGCUGGCUUCCUGCUGCCGCCGCUGCCGAGAGAGGUGGACGAGCUCCGCUCCAGGUUGCAGCGGUUCAAGACCUCCGCCGCCUGCGACAGAAUACUGGAUCACAUCGAGGAACAUCAUUCAGUAAUGACAGUUCCCCUUAGGAGACAUCUCCCUUAACUGCACGUUUGGAUAUUAUUAAAGUUUUAGAUCCACUUGACUAA